rnacentral:rRNA from 1 species
UACAGAGGGGGCAAGCGUUGUUCGGAAUUACUGGGCGUAAAGCGUGCGCAGGCGGUUUUGCAAGCCGGAUGUGAAAUCCCCGGGCUUAACCCGGGAAUGGCAUUGAAUACUGCUGAUCUGGAGGAUCGGAGGGGGGACUGGAAUUCUUGGUGUAGCAGUGAAAUGCGUAGAUAUCAAGAGGAACACCAGUGGCGAAGGCGAGUCCCUGGACGAUACCUGACACUGAGGCACGAAAGCCAAGGGAGCAAACAGG